CUCUUCUUGUUAAUUAUUUGAGGUAUAAUCUGCCCACUGAUAUUUAUUAAAGGGCCGCGGUAUUUUGACCGUGCAAAGGUAGCAUAAUCAUUAGUCUUUUAAUUGGAGACUGGAAUGAAUGAUUGGACGAAGGGUAUUCUUUAUCUUUAAAUAUUUAUUGAAUUUAAAUACUAAGUUAAAAUGCUUAGAUUUUUUAAUGGGACGAGAAGACCCUAUAGAGUUUAAUUGAUAUUAUGUUAGUUGGAAGUUAGUGUUAAAUUUAGUAUUAAUUUAGUUGGGGUGAUUUAAAGAUAAUAUAAACUCUUUUAUUUUGAUUUUUAUUGAUUUAUUUUAUUAUGAUCCAUUUUUAUUGAUUGUUAGUAAAAAUUACCUUAGGGAUAACAGCGUAAUCCUUUUUGAGAGUUCUUAUUGAUAAAGGGGAUUGCGACCUCGAUGUUGGAUUAAGGUUAAAUUUGGGGGUAGUCAUUCAUAAAUUUAGGUCUGUUCGACCUUUAAAAUCUUACA
rnacentral:rRNA from 1 species